UACGGAGGGUCCAAGCGUUAUCCGGAAUCAUUGGGUUUAAAGGGUCCGCAGGCGGGCAAUUAAGUCAGGGGUGAAAUGGUGCGGCUCAACCGUAGCACUGCCUUUGAUACUGGUUGUCUUGAGUUAUGGUGAAGUGGCCGGAAUAUGUAGUGUAGCGGUGAAAUGCAUAGAUAUUACAUAGAACACCGAUUGCGAAGGCAGGUCACUAACCAUGGACUGACGCUGAUGGACGAAAGCGUGGGGAGCGAACGGG
rnacentral:rRNA from 2 species